rnacentral:rRNA from 1 species
UGGGGAAUAUUGGGCAAUGGGCGAAAGCCUGACCCAGCAACGCCGCGUGAAGGAAGAAGGUUUUCGGAUUGUAAACUCUGUCCUAAGUGACGAAGGAAGUGACGGUAGCUUAGGAGGAAGCCCCGGCUAACUACGUGCCAGCAGCCGCGGUAAUACGUAGGGGGCGAGCGUUGUCCGGAAUGACUGGGCGUAAAGGGCGUGUAGGCGGCCGAUUAAGUAUGGAGUGAAUUCCAGCUUUCAAGGUUGGACUUGCUUUGUAGACUGGUUGGCUUGAGUGCGGAAGAGGUAAGUGGAAUUCCCAGUGUAGCGGUGAAAUGCGUAGAGAUUGGGAGGAACACCAGUGGCGAAGGCGACUUACUGGGCCGUAACUGACGCUGAGGCGCGAAAGCGUGGGGAGCGAACAGGAUUAGAUACC